GGGGAAAGCCUAUGGGAGAAUGUGUUGUCGUUAUAUUACAAAGGUUCUAUUAUCAUUACAUUACAAAGGUUCCAUAUUGCCAGAGUUCCAUACCUCCUUGAUGUUUCUUGUAGGCAGUUCCUCCAGGCACUGACUCUUCCUUGUCCUCACAGCAGCCACUGACUCCAGUUCCCCUCAGCCACCCAAUCCACUCUUUUAUAACACUCUGCUGACUGGCUGCAGCUGCGGCCUGUUAGCAUCAGGCCUGCUCCUAAUCCUUAGUAAUUGGCUCAGCUGCAACUCUUUAGGGGGUAUGUGUGGUACUGUACUAAACCCUCUGUGGUUUCUGCAUAAAUGAGGCAAGGCCAAAGAUGACUGCUCCAAGUGAGAGAAGAUACUCCAAGAAAAGUACCUCUGCUCUCCUAACUGCUGACUACACACAAGAGCAGGAACUGCAGGUGUUUUCUUCAACACAAGGAAAAGCGCUGAAAAGGAGUGGAAAAGGGAUGGAGGUGGCUCUUGUGCUUGUGAGUCAGCUCUUACCAGGGGCACGGGGAGAUGAAGGGUCUCCAUCAGGGUCAAGGUGUGACCCCAUGAACUCAUCCCAGGGUCAUGUCUGUCUCCUGUACACUGAGCAGGGACCAGCUCCUGCAGCACUGCAUCCCUGCCUGGGUGUGAUUCUUGGCAGCUCAUGGAUUUGCUUUUCAUCUCCUCAAAGCAGCAGGAGAACAACAGUGGGUUUAUAAGCCCAGAGGAAAUUGUCCACCAAGUUUUGAAUCCCUGGCAGAGGACUCUAGCUGUAAUCAUGGCAGGAUGAGGGGAAAUCAGAGCCCUGCUUAGGGUAUAGGAAAUAAAAUGUGGGGGAAAAAGCAAGGGCAAAUGAACAUAUUUAAAAACAAAAUAAAUCAGCUAUGGAAACACA